UACGAAGGGGGCUAGCGUUGUUCGGAUUUACUGGGCGUAAAGCGCACGUAGGCGGUUCGUUAAGUCAGAUGUGAAAGCCCCGGGCUCAACCUGGGAAUGGCGAUGGAUACUGGCUCGCUAGAGUGCGGUAGAGGUGAGUGGAAUUCCCAGUGAUAGAGGUGAAAUUCGUAGAUAUUGGGAAGAACACCGGUGGCGAAGGCGGCUCACUGGCUCAUUACGUGACGCUCAGGCGCGAU
rnacentral:rRNA from 1 species